rfam:Aedes albopictus isolate Foshan contig77894, whole genome shotgun sequence.
GGCUGGGUGGUCUAGUGGAUACCACUUCUGAUUCGUAUGCAGAAGGUCUUGGGUUCAAUCCCUGGCCCGCCCA